rnacentral:rRNA from 1 species
AGUGAACGCUGGCGGUAGGCCUAACACAUGCAAGUCGAACGGCAGCACAGUAAGAGCUUGCUCUUACGGGUGGCGAGUGGCGGACGGGUGAGGAAUACAUCGGAAUCUACUUUUUCGUGGGGGAUAACGUAGGGAAACUUACGCUAAUACCGCAUACGACCUACGGGUGAAAGCAGGGGAUCUUCGGACCUUGCGCGAUUGAAUGAGCCGAUGUCGGAUUAGCUAGUUGGCGGGGUAAAGGCCCACCAAGGCGACGAUCCGUAGCUGGUCUGAGAGGAUGAUCAGCCACACUGGAACUGAGACACGGUCCAGACUCCUACGGGAGGCAGCAGUGGGGAAUAUUGGAGAAUGGAGGCAAGCCUGAUACAGGCAUACCGCGUGGGUGAAGAAGGCCUUCGGGUUGUAAAGCCCUUUUGUUGGGAGAGAAAAGCAGCAGGUUAAUACCCCGCUGUUCUGACGGUACCCAAAGAAUAAGCACCGGCUAACUUCGUG